rnacentral:rRNA from 1 species
GACGAACGCUGGCGGCGUGCUUAACACAUGCAAGUCGAGCGAGUGGAUUCCCUUCGGGGAUGAAGCUAGCGGCGGACGGGUGAGUAACACGUGGGCAACCUGCCUUAUAGAGGGGGAUAGCCUUCCGAAAGGAAGAUUAAUACCGCAUAAUAUCAGAUUAUCGCAUGGUAGACUGAUCAAAGGAGCAAUCCGCUAUAAGAUGGGCCCGCGUCGCAUUAGCUAGUUGGUGAGGUAACGGCUCACCAAGGCGACGAUGCGUAGCCGACCUGAGAGGGGGAUCGGCCACAUUGGGACGGAGACACGGCCCAGACUCCCACGGGAGGCAGCAGUGGGGAAUAUUGCACAAUGGGGGAAACCCUGAUGCAGCAACGCCGCGUGAGUGAUGAAGGCCUUCGGGUUGUAAAGCUCUUUGAUCAGGGACGAUAAUGACGGUACCUGAAGAACAAGCCACGGCUAACUACGUGCCAGCCGCCGCAGUAAGAC